GACGAACGCUGGCGGCGUGCUUAACACAUGCAAGUCGAACGGAAAGGCCCUGCUUUUGUGGGGUGCUCGAGUGGCGAACGGGUGAGUAACACGUGAGUAACCUGCCCUUGACUUUGGGAUAACUUCAGGAAACUGGGGCUAAUACCGGAUAGGAGCUCCUGCUGCAUGGUGGGGGUUGGAAAGUUUCGGCGGUUGGGGAUGGACGCGCGGCUUAUCAGCUUGUUGGUGGGGUAGUGGCUUACCAAGGCUUUGACGGGUAGCCGGCCUGAGAGGGUGACCGGCCACAUUGGGACUGAGAUACGGCCCAGACUCCUACGGGAGGCAGCAGUGGGGAAUAAUGCACAAUGGGCGGAAGCCUGAUGCAGCAACGCCGCGUGCGGGAUGACGGCCUUCGGGUUGUAAACCGCUUUCGCCUGUGACGAAGCGUGAGUGACGGUAAUGGGUAAAGAAGCACCGGCUAACUACGUG
rnacentral:rRNA from 1 species